UUCCUUUAAGUGUUUACUUUAGAACUUCUCAGAGCAUUAUGGAUGUUUCAGAGGAUACAAAAAAUUCUUAAAUCUUUUUUUGUAGGAAUAAAUAAUAACUCCUUAGGCAACCUAGUAUAGGAAAACUGGUAAGGGCAUUCAAUCAACAAACAUUUAUUAACUACCUACUAUCUCAGGCACUGUUCCAGGUGCCUGGAUAAAUUAUCUUUCUCAAGGUCCUUUUCAAAGUAUUUUUAUUGUAGUGGCAAGAGAAGACAAUAAGCCAGUAAACAAGAUAGCUUCAGUAUAUGAUAGGAAACAUAUUAAAAAAACAGCUAGGACCCACUUUAAGGCCUCUUUGAGGAAUUAUUUGAGCUGAACAUAAAGAUAAACAUGAGUCAGCCACAGGAAGAGCCACAGGGAAAACAUUCCAGACAAACAAGAGAGUAAGUGCAAAGGCCCAAAAGCAGGAAAGAUCUUGGGCUGUUCCAGGACAUGUCAAGGUCUGCUCAGGCUGAUGUGCUGGAGGGUAGUAGGGGAUGAAGACAGUAGUAGAAAAUGAGGUUGGGGAAGAGGCAGGUACUGGAUCACAUAAGGCCUGGUGGCAAUAAUAUGGAAUUUGGGUCUUAGUCUAAGGAUGCUAAGGAGCUUCCAGGGGGCUUGAAUUAUUGAGGGGCUGUCAAGGGAGAUGAAGAAGAAUGGGUGGAUUAGGAAUGUGUCCUGGUAGGAGCACCCCCCCUUAAAUCUGUGCUAUGCUCAUAUUGUCUUUCUGUGGUGUGGACCUCUGUUUCCUAGCUCAGCUGGAAGUUCCCUCACUCAAGGCUCUAAGCAGAAAGCAAAAGGUAAGAUCUAGGUGCCAGAAGACCUGGGUUCCAAGCCUGGGCUUACACUAAGCAGCUGUGGAAAUGUGGACAAGUCACUUCACCUCUCUGGCUCUCACUCACUUCAUCUGCAAAGUGAAACAAAAGCACUUAGAGCUCUACUUCUACAAUUCUGUUAUCUACAGUCCAUGCCUCUCAAGGCUGAAAGAGAUAUAACCAGACACAUAGAAGGAAACUAGGAAUUUGCACCAUAUCCCUUUGAGAGACAAUAAGGAAGAAAAAAAAAAAAAAGGUUAAAGAUUAGCCCCAUAACCUUGGGCUUGGUGAUGAUUUCUUGCAUAUGACACCAAAAGCACAAGCAACAGAAGCAAAAUUAGACCAAUAGGAACUACAUCAAACUAAAAAGCCUUUGUACAAUAAAGGAGACAAUCAGUAGACUGAAGAGGCAACCUAGAGAAUGGGAAAGAAUAUUUGCAAACCAUAGAUCUGAUAUGGAAUUAAUAUCCAAAAUAUACUAGAAACUCCUACAACUCAAUAAAAAAAAAGAAAAGAAACACCUAACUUAAAAAUGAGCAAAGGAAGUGAACAGAUAUUUCUCCAAAAUUUUCCAUUUUCCUACAAAUGGCUAACAGAUAUAUGAAAAUAUGUCAAUAUCACUAAUUGUCAGGGAAGUGCAAAUCAAAACUACAAUGAGGUAUGCCCUCCCACCUGUUAGGAUGGCUUUUAUUAAAUAAUAAUUUUUUAAAUAUAACGAGUGUUGGCAAGGAUGUGACAACUCAAAGCCCUUGUACCCUCUUGGUGGGAAUGCAAAAUGGGGCAGCUGUUGUGCCAAAUGGCAUCGAGUUUCUUCAAAAAAAAUUUAAAAUUGAACUACCUAAGAGCCAACAAUCCCAUUUGUGUGUAUUUAUCCAAAAUAUGUUCAAUCCCACAAAAUAUAUGCAUUAAAUAUGUUCAUUUUUUAAAAAGUCAAAGGUUAGAAAUUAUAUUUGUUUUCUGUGUCUGCUGGAAGAAUUCUCUACCUGAGUGUCUCAGAACAACAGAAUUGUUCUCUCUUAUAUCCUGGAGGCAGGACAUACAAAAUCAAGGUUGGUAGGGCCACAUUCUCUCCAAAGGUUCUAGAGGAGGAUCCACUCCUUGUUUCUCCCAGGUUGGUGGCUCUAGGAGUUUCUGGCUUGUGGCCUCAUCAUUCUGUCCUCUGCCUCUGUUGCCUCUUACUCUUCUGUCCCCACUUCCCUCCACCUCUUUUUUUUUUUUUUUUUUUUUUCUUUUUGACUGCCUGGGUGUCAUAUGUUCCCAAGCCAGGGAUCAGAUGCCAGCUGCAGUUGCAACCUACACCAGAUCCUUUUAACCCACUGUGCCAGGCCAGGGAUUGAACCUGUGCCCUGGUGCUGCAGAGAUGCCACCCAUCCCAUUGUACCACAGCAGGAACUCCCUCCUGCCUCUUUCUUUUAAAGACACCUGAGAAUGCAUGUAGGGCCCAUCUUGAUCACCUAGGAUAAGCUCCUACUCUCAAGAUGCUUAACUGUAUCUUUUGUCGUAUAAAGUAAUAUUCAAUCUUUGACCUCAUAAAGUAAUAUGCACAGUACCUGGGAUUAGGACCAGGACAUAUCUUUCAGGGCCAUCACUAACCCCACUGCAGAUAUCCAUCACUGCCUCCCUCCAAAUAUGUUCUCAUACUGUCCUCAGGAAUUCAUUCUUCCUCUCCAGGAUUCCUAUUCCACCAGAUUUUAUUUCUUUCAUUUCUCCUUCAUAGUGCCCAGUAAAAGACUUUGCAUAAGGUGGGUAGUUAUUCAGUGAAUAUUGCUCCCAAACUGAAACUUCCAGAAACCUUUCAGUAGGAGUAUGCUGGGUACUUCCCUUACAAUUCAAAAAAGAUUGGAAAAUUGGCUAGUCAUCUGCUGAUUUGUAAAGCAGCAAAAGAACACACUCAGCAGCAUGAGAGGUUGAGUUUUAGUCUCUAUUCUGCACCAAUCUGUUCUGUGAUCGUGGCUAGGCAUGUUCUCCGCUGUCUGGGCACUGGCUUUCUAAAGAGGGGGGCCUGGAGUUCCCUGGUAGCUCAGUAGGUUAAGACCUGACAUUGUCACUACCGUGGCUUGGGUUUGAUCCUUGACCCUGGAACUCCCACGUGCCAUGGGCGCAACCAAAAAUAAAGAAGUAAAAAAUUUAAAAAUGAAAUACAGCAAUUGGCUUCUAGAAGCUCUUAUACCCUUAUAUUUUACAAUUAGAAUUUGGAGGGAGGAAAAUUUUCCUCUACCCGUCUGAGGUUCAUUAGCCUUGUAAAUUAGCCUGGCAAAAGACAUAUUCACAAGAGUGAAACAAGAGUUGAUUAACAUGUGUAUCAUACAGACACAUGGGAAAAUUCAAUGAUAAGUAGCUCAAAGAGGUGUUUAGAAUUUAGGUUUAUAUAACCUCUUAACAGACAAACAAUAAAUUUGCAGAGAAGUGACAAGACAAAGGAAAGCCCUUGAGCUUUUAGGGGAAGCAAAUUGUAAAAGACAAACAUACAGGGAAAACCAAUGGAAAAUAAGGGCAGGGUAAUACGGUUUGUCACCUAGGUCCCUCUGGUGCCAUCUUGGGGCUGACAGUCCAGAGUUGUUUCCAGGGACUAAGAACCAUCCUGCCCUUUCAAGUAAGGCAGGGGAGGGACAAAGCGUUUUUCUUAGGUCCACUUUUUCUCAAUUGCCUUUAGGUCAAAAUAAUCCUCUGUCAGAAUGGCAUAUGUUGGAGUUCCCGUUGUGGCACAGAGGAAAUGAAUCCAACUAGGAACCAUGAGGUGGCAGGUUUGAUCCCUGGCCUUACUCAGUGGCUUAAGGAUCCCGUGUUGCUGUGGCUGUGGUGUAGGCCGGCAGCUGUAGCUCUGAUUCAACCCCUAGCCUGGAAACCUCCACAUGCCAUGGGUGGGGCCCUUAAAAAGCAAAAAAAAGAAAAAGAAGAAGAAUAGCAUAUGUUAAGGAGUGGCAUACCCUGAGCUCCUUCAAAGUCAAAAUUAAAUAUAUUCUUUCUCAGGAUCCUUUGAAAAAAACAUAGCCUUUUGUGCUCUCUUACUGCAGUUUGGCGGGAAGCAUCUGCCCCAGAAAGAAGAAAAGGAUGGAAGUGAGAUAAAAAUCUUCAUUUUCCAGUCCUGAUGCCCCAGAUCUGAACACUUGAAGCUUCUGCAACAAGGAGGGUCAAAUUUCAAAGAUCUCUAUCUCUACCAUGAGAUCUAUUGCUGUUUUGGAAAAAGUCAGCAAAUCCUUCAGCUAACAAGUUGUUUCUUCAGCCCAGCCAACUGGAUGCCUGCUUCUGACUUCCUCUUCAUCCUGUCCCCCCUCUAUCCCCACUCCCACACCCCAGUAUAUCCUCAGGACAACUUCCUCCCAUAAGUAAUUUAAAGAGCCAAGCUAUUAAUAAGACAUAUUGUAACAGAGGGUGAAAAAGGCACAGGAAAAGGAAAGUAAUUAUCCUUUCCUUCUUAUCCUACUCCCUUAUUAAGUGCUAGAGGAAAGAUACAAACUUUUUUGUACUAGGGACAAUGGAAAAAAAUAACAUUAACUGAGCAUAUACUAUGUACCAGGCCUUUUCCUGGUUAUCUUAUCCUCAAGACAACCCUGUGAAAUAGGUAUUAUCAUCCCCUUUAAAAGACAUGGAAACAUUUUGCUAUACAGCAGAAAUUGGCGCAACUUUGUAAAUCAACUAUACUUUAAUGAAAAAAAAGAAAAAAAAAGAUAUGGAAACAACCCAAAUGUCCAUGAUGGGACGAAGGGAUAAAUAAAAUCUGUUGUGUAUAUAAACUGGAAUAUUAUCCAGCCUUAAAAAGGAAGGAAAUUCUGGUAUAUGCUUACAACAUGGACAAGACAUUAAGACAUUAUGCUUAAUAGCAUGAUAAUGGGAGAAAAAAUAAUGUAUACAUGUAGUGUAACUGGGUCAUCAUGCUGUACUGUAGAAAAAAAAAUUGUACUAGGGAAAUAACAAUAAAAAAAUUUUUAAGACAUUACGUUUAAGACUCAUAGAUAUAGGGAAUGAACUAGUGGUUACAAGUGGCGAGAGGGAAGGGGGGAGGGGCAAUAUAGGGGUAAGGGAUUAAGAGGUACAAACACUUGGAGUUCCCUGGUGGCUGAGUGGUUAAGGAUCCAGCAUUGUCACUGCUGUGGUGCAGGUUUGAUCCCUGACCUGGGAACUUCUGCAUGCCAUAGGCAUGCCCAAAGAAAUUAGAAUUAAAAUUUAAAAAUGAAAGAGGUACAAACAAUUUAUGAAUAAAAUAAGCUGCGAGGAUCUAUUUUGCAACAUGAGGAAGAUGGCCAAUAUAUUUUUUUUCUUUUUCAGAGGAACCCACAGCAUAUGGAACUUCCUAGGGUAGAGAUCAAAUCCAAGUCAGAGCUACAACCUACAUCACCGCUGCAGCAGCACCAGAUCCUUUAACCCACUGUGACAGACCAGGGACCAAACGGGUGCCUCCACAAAGACAAGCUGGAUCAUUAAAGCACUGCACCACAGCAAGAACUCCUGCCAAUAUUUUAUAAUAACAACAAAUGGAGUAUGACUUUAAAAUUGUGAAUCACUAUAUUGUACACCUUAUAUAAUAUUGUAUAUCAACUAUACUUCACUAAAAAAUUUUUGAGACAUUAUACGAAGUAAAAUGAUUCAGACACAAACGUAUCCAUAUUAUAUGAUUACAUUUAUAAAACGCACCUCGAAUAGGCAAAUCUACAGAGACAAAAAGUAGGAUAGAGAUUACCAGAGGGUGAGAGGAAGGAAGAAUGGGAGUUUAUUUUUUGAUGGGUACAGACCUUCUGUUUGAGAUGAUUAAAAAAAAAAAGCUCUGGAUAUAGAUAAUGGUGAGAGUUGCACGACAUCGUGAAUGCACUCAGACUGCACACUUUGAAACGGUUAAAAUUAUAGCAAUUUUAAUUAUGUAUAUUUUACUACAACUUGAAAAAAGGUUAUGGAAACUAUGAGGUUAAUUGUUCCAACUGGCAUAGUCAUUAAAGGGGAUGCCAGAGUUUGAACCCAUUUAACUGACACGUGAUAAUUAUUAUGUAAAGAAGAAAGAAAUGAGUAGAUAGUAAUAGUACUGAUCUCCAGACAAAGCAGAAACUGCAAUUGAAUAAACACUAGUUUCUACCCCAAGCUAAUUUCCUGACCCAAGGUUGUUUUUCAGAUGACGACUGCGUGAGUGGAAAGAAUGUUAACUCAUCUCUCAUUGAAUAUUAUCUAACCACAUCCUCAGUCCCUUCUGUAAACGGCCUUGUCCGCUGUGUUAUCUCCUGGUUCAGCUCUGUUUGGACUUGGAGAAUAAUUAAAGAACUAAAAAUAAAGAAAUGAGCCUGGCUCCAAAAGCCUGAAAAGAAUGGCCUUGAUGAGAAUAAAAACAGUGAUUCCUUUUAACCAGUGUUGAGAGAAUUUUGAGUAGCCACUAGAUUGUCACAUUCAGGUUCAGCUUUGUCUCCCUUCUCAGGUAUUUGGCACAAUAUCUAGCCAACAGCAAUAUUUGGAAAUGUUUAAUUAACUGAAUUACAUUUUGAAAAUUUAACCCCAAACCUCAUAGGAGACGCUCUAUAUGACCAGCCUAGAUAUGGAAUAAUCCAAAGUCUCUAAUGGCAACCAAUGAUUCUGUUGUUGUUAUUGUGUUUGGGUCCCUGGGUAGAAGGGGUGCUACCACCACCAAGACACAUAGAAAUUAACUAGACUUUUCGGUAUGUGUUGGGCAUGUUAGUCAAAGAACCACUGAGGAAGAUUUAAGUACUGUAUCCUUUCUUGGUAAUAACAACAGCUGAAGACAUGACUGACACAAUGUGCCUACAGAAGUGACACAACAUGAAGUGCCAGUGCAACUUGUGAAGCACUGUAUUCUUCCCCAAAUAUGUAUCCUGAAUAUAAGGAGGCCUUUAGACCUCAUUUCCAAUUUAUAGGAAAUAUACAAGACAGAGAAAUAAGUUAAAUCACGCCAUGAUCCCUCAAGACAAUUGACCUUCUUACUUCAAAACAUCCCAUGGGAGCAAGAAGGGGCAAUGGCUCUAGAUUAGAGAAAAUUAAAGAAAUACAAAGCCAGGAGAGUUCCCUUUGUGGUGCAGUGGAAACGAAUCUGACCAAUAACCAUUAGUUUUGGGUUUGAUCCCUGGCCUCACUCAGUGGGUUAAGGAUCCGGCAUUGCCAUGAGCUGUGGUGUAGGUUGCAGAUGCAGCUCAGAUCCCACACUGCUGUGACUGUGGUUUAGGCUGGCAGGUACAGCUCUGAUUCAACCCUUAGCCUGAGAACCUCCAUAUGCCACA
rnacentral:lncRNA from 1 species